rnacentral:rRNA from 1 species
AUUGAACGCUGGCGGCAGGCCUAACACAUGCAAGUCGAGCGAGCGGCGGACGGGGGAGUGAUGUAUGGGGGACUGCGUGAUAGAGGGGGAUAACUACUGGAAACGGUGGCUAAUACCGCAUACCAUCGAAUAUGCCCACAGGGGAUUGGCUAGUAGGGGAGGUAAAGGCUCACCUAGGCGACGCGCCCUAGCUGGUCUGAGAGGAUGAGCAGCCACACUGGGACUGAGACACGGCCCAGACUCCUACGGGAGGCAGCAGUGGGGAAUAUUGCACAAUGGGCGCAAGCCUGAUGCAGCCAUGCCGCGUGUGUGAAGAAGGCCUUCGGGUUGUAAAGUACUUUCAGCGGGGAGGCGUUACCCGCAGAAGAAGCACCGGCUAACUCCGUGCCAGCAGCCGCGGUAAUAC